rnacentral:rRNA from 1 species
ACGAACGCUGGCGGCGUGCCUAACACAUGCAAGUCGAGCGGAGACAGUGAGUAGCUUGCUAUGAGCUGUUUUAGCGGCGGACGGGUGAGUAACGCGUGAGCAACCUUUCCCAGACAGGGGAAUAACACACCGAAAGGUGUACUAAUACCGCAUAAGACCACGGGAUCACAUGGUUCUGAGGUAAAAGAAUUAUCGGUUUGGGGUGGGCUCGCGUCCGAUUAGGUAGUUGGUGAGGUAACGGCCCACCAAGCCGACGAUCGGUAGCCGACCUGAGAGGGUGAUCGGCCACAUUGGGACUGAGACACGGCCCAAACUCCUACGGGAGGCAGCAGUGGGGAAUAUUGGGCAAUGGGGGGAACCCUGACCCAGCAACGCCGCGUGGAGGAAGAAGGUUUUCGGAUCGUAAACUCCUGUCCUUGGAGACGAGUAGAAGACGGUAUCCAAGGAGGAAGCCCCGGCUAACUACGUGCCAGCAGCCGCGGUAAUACGUAGGGGGCAAGCGUUGUCCGGAAUAAUUGGGCGUAAAGGGCGCGUAGGCGGCUCGGUAAGUCUGGAGUGAAAGUCCUGCUUUUAAGGUGGGAAUUGCUUUGGAUACUGUCGGGCUUGAGUGCAGGAGAGGUUAGUGGAAUUCCCAGUGUAGCGGUGAAAUGCGUAGAGAUUGGGAGGAACACCAGUGGCGAAGGCGACUAACUGGACUGUAACUGACGCUGAGGCGCGAAAGUGUGGGGAGCAAACAGGAUUAGAUACCCUGGUAGUCCACACUGUAAACGAUGAAUGCUAGGUGUAGGGGGUAUCGACCCCUUCUGUGCCGCAGUAAACACAAUAAGCAUUCCGCCUGGGGAGUACGGCCGCAAGGUUGAAACUCAAAGGAAUUGACGGGGGCCCGCACAAGCAGCGGAGCAUGUGGUUUAAUUCGACGCAACGCGAAGAACCUUACCAGGUCUUGACAUCCACUUAAACUUACAGAGAUGUAAGGUGUGCUUGCACAAAG